rnacentral:rRNA from 1 species
CCUACGGGAGGCAGCAGUGGGGAAUAUUGCGCAAUGGGCGAGAGCCUGACGCAGCGACGCCGCGUGAGGGAUGAAGGUCUUCGGAUCGUUAACCUCUGUCAGCAGGGAAGAACGGUCACUGUGCUAAUCAGCAGUGAAUUGACGGUACCUGCAAAGGAAGCACCGGCUAACUCCGUGCCAGCAGCCGAGGUAAUACGGAGGGUGCGAGCGUUAAUCGGAAUUACUGGGCGUAAAGCGCUCGUAGGCGGUAUGUCAAGUCAAGGGUGAAAUCCCCGCGCUCAACGUGGGAACUGCCUUUGAAACUGGCAAACUGGAGUGUGUGAGAGGAAAGUGGAAUGCCAGGUGUAGGAGUGAAAUCCGUAGAUAUCUGGCGGAACAUCAGUGGCGAAGGCGACUAUCGGGCACAUAACUGACGCUGAGGAGCGAAAGCGUGGGUAGCAAACAGGAUUAGAUACCCGAGUAGUC